GGGUGUGGCUGCUGCCAGCCCAGGUGCUGCCAGACCACCUGCUGCAGGACCACCUGCUGCCGCCCCAGCUGCUGUGUCUCCAGCUGCUGCAGCCCCUGCUGUGGAGGUUCCAGUGGCUGUGGCUCCUGCUGCUGCCAGCCCAUCUGCUGUAGGACCACCUACUGCCGCCCCAGCUGCUGUGGCUCCAGCUGCUGCAGCUGUGGUGGGUCCAAUGGCUGUGGAGGUUCCAGUGGCUGUGGCUCCUGCUGCUGCCAGCCCAUCUGCUGUAAGACUACCUGCUGCAGGACCACCUGCUGCUGCCCCACCUGCUGUGGGUCCUGCUGUGGUGGCUCCAGUGGCUGUGGCUCCAGUGGCUGUGGCUCCUGCUGCUGCCGCCCCAUCUGCUGUAGGACCACCUGCUGCCGCCCCAGCUGCUGCGGCUCCAGCUGCUGCAGCCCCUGCUGUGGUAGUUCCAGUGGCUGUGGAGGUUCCAGUGGCUAUGGCUCCUGCUGGUCUCUCCCCUGCUGCCUCCAGACCACCUGCUUCAGGACCACCUGCUGCCGACCCUGCUGCUGUGUGGCCAGCUGCUGUCGCCCAAGCUGCUGCUGCUAGUCUCUGUGCCACCAGCCCAACUGCUGCUAGCUGCCCCACCACUUCAUUCCUCUCCUCCUGCUCCACUGCUUCUUAUGCUCAGCACCCGCACCUGCCCCCCCGCCCCCCCCCCACCCCACUGCUCUUCAACCAACAGACUUGA
rnacentral:lncRNA from 1 species